UUUUAACAUCUGUUGUUGUGUUUUUAGCUGAAAAAGUCACUAUUGGUAGAGCGAGUUGAGCAGGACAAAGAUCACAUUAUGGUCUAUCUGACUGAGCUUUUGAAGAACAUACCCAUCAAUCACGAGUUACUGCUGAUACAAGAACUCCCAGUGCACAACUUGAAGCCCGCUGUGGUUAGACUCUAUGACUACUACCAGACAAGUGACAAAGAUGAGACUGAGUACAUUUUCCCCUGUGUUUGAGUUUGAAGAAUGAAGAUUUAUCAUCCUUUGAGUGUUUGAACUCUAAAUUAAAAAGUACCUUUGUGAUAAACAUUUAAUGUCCUGGUGUUACUAUAGAAACAAUAUUACACUUGAUGAAAUAUUUUUUUGUGAACAAUAAACUGGUCCUCUGAGGCCACA